AGAACGAACGCUGGCGGCAGGCUUAACACAUGCAAGUCGAACGCCCCGCAAGGGGAGUGGCAGACGGGUGAGUAACGCGUGGGAAUCUACCCAGUUCUACGGAAUAACACAGGGAAACUUGUGCUAAUACCGUAUACGCCCUACGGGGGAAAGAUUUAUCGGGAUUGGAUGAGCCCGCGUUGGAUUAGCUAGUUGGUGGGGUAAUGGCCUACCAAGGCGACGAUCCAUAGCUGGUCUGAGAGGAUGAUCAGCCACACUGGGACUGAGACACGGCCCAGACUCCUACGGGAGGCAGCAGUGGGGAAUAUUGGACAAUGGGCGCAAGCCUGAUCCAGCCAUGCCGCGUGAGUGAUGAAGGCCUUAGGGUUGUAAAGCUCUUUCAGUGGGGAAGAUAAUGACGGUACCACAGAAGAGCCCGGCUAACUUCGUGCCAGCAGCCGC
rnacentral:rRNA from 1 species